UGUGGCCUGGUGCUUACCACAGGCUGUGUUUUUACAGACGGUAUGGAAAGAGGAGGCAAAGCAAACCUACCCCAUAUACACCUCAGCCCAGGCCCUGUGCCUGGUCUGUAUUGUGAAUGGGGAGACCUAG
rnacentral:snoRNA from 1 species